CCAGAGAGCAUUAUUAAUGAUCCUUCCGUAGGUGAACCUGCGGAAGGAUCAUUAAUAAUGCUCUCUGGCUUCGGUCAGUUGAGUUCAAUGAGUGCCUUCUCUUCGGAGUUGGCCAUCCAUACACACCGUGAACUGUGGCUUCGGCCAUCACAAACUGUUAGUAAUGAAUGUAAUAUCAUAACAAAAACAAAACUUUUAACAACGGAUCUCUUGGCUCUCGCAUCGAUGAAGAACGCAGCGAAAUGCGAUAAGUAAUGUGAAUUGCAGAAUUCAGUGAAUCAUCGAAUCUUUGAACGCACCUUGCGCCCUUUGGUAUUCCGAAGGGCAUGCCUGUUUGAGUGUCAUGAAACCUCACCCCACUUGGGUUUUUGCCUGAGCGGUGGUGUAUUGGGUGUUGCCUUGCCAAAGGCUCGCCUUAAAAACAUAAGCACCUUGGAUGUAAUACGUUUCAUCCUUCUGGGUGGCUGAUAACCCCACAUAUUCAUGAUCUGGCCUCAAAUCAGGUAGGGCUACCCGCUGAACUUAAGCAUAUCAAUAAGCCGGAGGAAA
rnacentral:rRNA from 1 species